rnacentral:rRNA from 1 species
GUAGUUAGCCGUGACUUGUUCGUAGGGUACCGUCCUUGCUCGUCCCCUACAAAAGCAGUUUACAACCCGAAAGCCUUCUUCCUUCACGCGGCGUUGCUGGGUCAGGCUUGCGCCCAUUGCCCAAUAUUCCCCACUGCUGCCUCCCGUAGGAGUCUGGACCGUUUCUCAGUUCCAGUGUGGCCGAUCAGCCUCUCAGCUCGGCUACCCAUCGUUGACUUGGUGGGCCGUUGCCCCGCAACUAUCUAAUGGGACGCGAGCCCCUCUUCCUGCGGAUUUCUCCUUUGACCCCUCUGCCAUGCGACAAUGUGGUCUUAUGCGGUAUUAGCACCAGUUUUCCCGGUGUUAUCCCCCUCAGAAAGUCAGGUUGCUCACGCGUUACUCACCCGUCGCCACUAAGCUAAAUCCGAAACUUAGCUCCGUUCGACUUGCAUGUGUUAGGCACGCCGCCAGCGUUCGUCCUGAGCCAGGAUCAAACUCUGA